GCCGGCAUGGUGGCGCGUGCCUGUAAUCCCAGCUACUCGGGAGGCUGAGGCAGGAGAAUCGCUUGAACCCAGGAGGUGGAGGUUGCAGUGAGCUGAGAUUGCACCACUGCACUCCAGCCUGGGUGACACAGUGGGACUCUGUCUCAA
rnacentral:SRP_RNA from 1 species